GCCGGAGUAGCUCACUUGGUAGAGUAACGCAUUCGUAAUGCGUAGGUAAUAGGUUCAAAUCCUAUCUCCGGUA
rnacentral:tRNA from 2 species